rnacentral:misc_RNA from 1 species
ACAGUAUGUAUACCGCAAAUCGGAACUGGCAACUCUCUCAGCGACUGGUUGUUGUGGGUUGUAGUCGUGGUGGUGGUAGGACCGUGCUGGUAGUGUGCUGGUAGUGAGCUGCGUCUUCACCACUCCAGUCAUACUUCCUCUCCAGCGUGCUGGUGGGACAUAUUUCUCUUCUUGACCACUGCUUCUGUACGGCGACAUGCUGGCCCACAUGUCAAGAUACCCUCUUCGGCUGCCUAUGAGGAUGAUUCCUGGAGGUCGUGGUGGGCAGACUAUGCAUCAGGAUAGAUUUAUUGGAUCAGGAGCAGCAAUUCUCGUUGGUUUAGGCCUCUGCAUAUCCUCCUUUUCUCU